rnacentral:rRNA from 1 species
GACGAACGCUGGCGGCGUGCUUAACACAUGCAAGUCGAGCGGAAAGGCCCUUCGGGGUACUCGAGCGGCGAACGGGUGAGUAACACGUGAGGAACCUGCCCCAGUCUUUGGGAUAACCUUCGGAAACGGAGGCUAAUACCGAAUAUGACCUUGCACCGCAUGGUGUCUUGGUGGAAAGUUUUUCGGUCUGGGAUGGUCUCGCGGCCUAUCAGCUUGUUGGUGGGGUAAUGGCCUACCAAGGCGACGACGGGUAGCCGGCCUGAGAGGGCGACCGGCCACACUGGGACUGAGACACGGCCCAGACUCCUACGGGAGGCAGCAGUGGGGAAUAUUGCACAAUGGGCGGAAGCCUGAUGCAGCGACGCCGCGUGAGGGAUGACGGCCU